AUGCGGGUCAGAGCGAAUGAAGUAAACGCUAACAUCGAAACGAAAUUAUUACGUUUUAAAAUUAAUACCCAAAUUCUGUAUGGCGUAGAUAUUGUAAUCCCUGAAAGAUCAAUUCGUCAAAGUAAAUAUAUGUACCUGUAAACAAUAAUCGUAUUAGGAGAGUCCUAAGUUAUCUAGUAGAGCCGCCCAAAAACUAAAAGGCUCUAACAAUUGGUCUUUUUAUCUACCGCAUACAGUCCA